rnacentral:rRNA from 1 species
GAUGAACGCUGGCGGCGUGCCUAAUACAUGCAAGUCGAACGGAAAGGCCCUGCUCUUGCGGGGUGCUCGUGUGGCGAACGGGUGAGUAACACGUGAGUAACCUGUCCCUGUCUUUGGGAUAACUUCAGGAAACUGGGGCUAAUACCGGAUAGGAGCUCCUGCUGCACGGUGGGGGUUGGAAAGUUUCGGCGGUUGGGGAUGGACUCGCGGCUUAUCAGCUUGUUUGUGGAGUAGUGGCUUACCAAGCCUUUGACGGGUAGCCGGCCUGGGAGGGUGACCGGCCACCUUGGGACUGAGGUACGGCCCAGACGCCUACCGGAGGCAGCGGUGGGAAGUAUUACGCAGUAAGCGGGAGCCUGAUACGACGGCGCCGCGUGCGGAAUAACGGCCUACGAGUUGUGAACCGCUUUCGCCGGUGACGAAGAGUGAGUGACGGUAAUGGAUAAGAAAGCACCGGCUAACUACGUG